rnacentral:rRNA from 1 species
ACUGCUCAGUAACACGUGGAUAACCUGCCCUUGGGUCCGGCAUAACCCCGGGAAACUGGGGAUAAUUCCGGAUAACUCGCAUAUGCUGGAAUGCUUUUCGAGUGAAAUGGAUUCGUCUGCCCAAGGAUGGGUCUGCGGCCUAUCAGGUAGUAGUGGGUGUAAUGUACCUACUAGCCUACGACGGGUACGGGUUGUGAGAGCAAGAGCCCGGAGAUGGAUUCUGAGACAUGAAUCCAGGCCCUACGGGGCGCAGCAGGCGCGAAAACUUUACAAUGCGGGAAACCGUGAUAAGGGGACACCGAGUGCCAGCAUCAUAUGCUGGCUGUCCAGGUGUGCAAAAUACACCUGUUAGCAAGGGCCGGGCAAGACCGGUGCCAGCCGCCGCGGUAACACCGGCGGCCCGAGUGGUGAUCGUGAUUAUUGGGUCUAAAGGGUCCGUAGCCUGUUUGGUCAGUCCUCCGGGAAAUCUGACAGCUUAACUGUUAGGCUUUCGGAGGAUACUGCCAGACUUGGAACCGGGAGAGGUAAGAGGUACUACAGGGGUAGGAGUGAAAUCUUGUAAUCCUUGAAGGACCACCAGUGGCGAAGGCGUCUCACCAGAACGGGUUCGACGGUGAGGGACGAAAGCUGGGGGCACGAACCGGAUUAGAUACCCGGGUAGUCCCAGCCGUAAACGAUGCUCGCUAGGUGUCAGGCAUGGCGCGACCGUGUCUGGUGCCGCAGGGAAGCCGUGAAGCGAGCCACCUGGGAAGUACGGCCGCAAGGCUGAAACUUAAAGGAAUUGGCGGGGGAGCA